rnacentral:rRNA from 1 species
GGCGGUUCGCUGCCCGCGACGUCGCGAGAAGUCCACUGAACCUUAUCAUUUAGAGGAAGGAGAAGUCGUAACAAGGUUUCCGUAGGUGAACCUGCGGAAGGAUCAUUGUCGAAGCCUGCAAAGCAGACCGCGAACACGUUAUUAACCACUCGGGGAAACGACGGGGGGGCGACCUCCCGCCGUGACCCUCCCCCGCGCGGCGCGAGCGAGAGCUGGCGUCGCGCGGGCUAACGAAACCCGGCGCGGCAUGCGCCAAGGAAAACUCAAUGAAGCGCCGGCCUCCCGUUGCCCCGUUCGCGGCGUGCUCGGGGGGAGCGGGCGUCUCUAGAAUGAUGUCAUAACGACUCUCGGCAACGGAUAUCUCGGCUCUCGCAUCGAUGAAGAACGUAGCGAAAUGCGAUACUUGGUGUGAAUUGCAGAAUCCCGUGAACCAUCGAGUCUUUGAACGCAAGUUGCGCCCGAAGCCGUUAGGCCGAGGGCACGUCUGCCUGGGCGUCUCGCAUCGCGUCGCCCCCCUCCCCGCUCCUCGCGGGCGGGAGGGGGCGGAUACUGGCCUCCCGUGCAYCGGUGCGCGGCCGGCCCAAAUGCGAUCCCGCGGCGACGCACGUCACGACCAGUGGUGGUUGAAAUCUCAACUCGCAUGCUGUCGUGAGCGCCGGCGUCGCCKUUCGGGAAUCACAACGACCCAGAGGCACCUGCGGUGCUUCCGACCGCGACCCCAGGUCAGGCGGGAUUACCCGCUGAG